UUCGGGCGGAGCAUAGGGGACGAUGGGUGUCCUUCCCCGGGGAGGAGGGCUCGGGCAGCUCUCGGCGGCCCACAGGAAACGGGAGGCUGCGGCUCCCCAGGGCGUUGCCCUCAGACCCACACCGCGCCCAGGACCCGGGUAAGCAGAAGGAAAUGACCCCGCCCAUGAGAACACAGGGCACUGAGACAAAGUCCAAGAAAGCUCUAAGAGUGGAGGGAAGCAGCGGAGCAAAAGGAAGAGUCAGAGCGACACCCGCGCGGCGGCAUUUCCAAACAGACCUGCCAGCGCCAAGAAACAGGUCGCGCCCCCCAUCCAGCUGCAUCCUGGACCCCACGCAGACGCGGAGCAGGACCCACCUCCCACGCGCUCCCCAAACCCUCACCGCAAGCGGAGCGGCUGACACUGACCAAGUCCCACACAGCCUGGGACUCCAAGGUCGAAGCCGCCGGCCGCUCACCCUCCGCGAGGCUCUGACGGACGGCGCCCUUCCCAGGCUCGCGAGCACUCCCCGCCAACGGCUACCCAUCGCGGUCCGCCUCCCAGGCAUUGGGCCCGCAGCGACUCCCGCCUGCAGGCCCAGAGGCACAGUCGCUCUCCCAGUCCCCGAGGGGACAAGAGACACCUGCAGCACGGCAAUCCCCUACACCUGUGAGGCCCUCUAAGCCCGCAAGGCCCCCUACACCUGCAACCUCCCUUCACCUACAAGAUCCCUGCACCUGCAAGGACCCCUACACCUGCAACUUCCCUACACCUGCAAUCUCCCUACACCUGCAACCUCCGUACGCCUGCAACCUCCUUUCACCUACAAGAUCCCUAAACCUGCAACCUCCUUACACCUGCGUGAGCGUCACCCCGGCUGAGGCGCUGGCAGAAGGCGGUGCGGGUGGAGCCUUCGCCAACGUCCUGGGCCCCCUGAGUGCUGCAUGCCAGUCCUACCAGCCGCUCGGUCAUCUGCCACCGCCCAGCAAUGGCUUCAGCAUGCAGUCCCUGCUAGGGGACUCCAGGGAGGAGCAUCCUGGCCAGGGCUGGUGCCACAGAGCAGCCCAGCUUCUGCAGGCAGGGAACUGCUGCUAAGGAAGAAGGCAAGUGGCUUCUAUCUCUUCUUAUCAGAUCCUCUUACUGACUCUUUUGAGCUCUAAAAAUUUUUCAGCUGUUUCUACUGGACUCUUUCAGGAAGACAAUUGUAUCUGUCUAAUAUGAACACUUCUAAUUAUUUUAGACUUUUUUGUCUUCAGCUAAGGCCUUCAAACCUUAAUACCACAGAACUCGGUCACAGACUGCAGCAGCCACCACUCGUCUAUCGCUUGUGUACCAACAGGACUGUGCCAUCAACAGAAACACCACAGAGCUACAUCAAUGGGGGUGCUGUGAAAACCGGUUCAAAACAGGCAAAUGGAUCUACAUAACCAAACCGAAAGAGAGCAACGUAUGCACAAAUGGCAAUAAAUGAAUUUCAGAGUCUUAAAUGUCAGAAAUCACCAUAAGCAUCAGCAUCAGCUCAGAGACUUCUGGAAAAAACAGCAGGAAGCAAUAACGUUGAGUUAACAACUGAAACUUUUUCAGGUGGACGACUGGAGAGCCCAGCCAGAGCCUGUGCCAGGUACCUGCCCGUUGUGGUGUCGGCCCUGCCCUCCAGGGCCGAGCCCUUCUCCUGCCCGGGGACUGGUGUCACGGUCGAGGUGGUGUCUGCUUUAGCUAUCGUCACCUCUUUGGCCUUGGAGCUCUCCUCCCCACAGUGGGGACAAUAGCUGGCGUUAUUGACUCGAGAGGCACAGUCUUUGUGGAAACGGUGAGAGAUGCUGCUCUCGGGCUGACACUCCAUAAAAUUACCCUAAAAAUGGGAGGACAAAAAAAAAUUUUUGUUUUAAUUGGGGUUAAUAUUUAGAAAAAUAAAGUACUACUAAACUGGC
ensembl:lncRNA novel transcript